UACGUAGGGUGCAAGCGUUGUCCGGAAUUAUUGGGCGUAAAGAGCUCGUAGGCGGUUCGUCGCGUCGGCUGUGAAAUCCCGAGGCUCAACCUCGGGUCUGCAGUCGAUACGGGCGGACUGGAGUACUGCAGGGGAGAGUGGAAUUCCUGGUGUAGCGGUGAAAUGCGCAGAGAUCAGGAGGAACACCGAUGGCGAAAGCAGGUACCUGGACCAUUACUGACGCUCAGCUGCGAAAGCUAGGGGAGCAAACAGG
rnacentral:rRNA from 1 species